rnacentral:rRNA from 2 species
AGACCCGAAACCCGGUGAUCUAGCCAUGGGCAGGUUGAAGGUUGGGUAACACUAACUGGAGGACCGAACCGACUAAUGUUGAAAAAUUAGCGGAUGACCUGUGGCUGGGGGUGAAAGGCCAAUCAAACCGGGAGAUAGCUGGUUCUCCCCGAAAGCUAUUUAGGUAGCGCCUCGUGAAUUCAUCUCCGGGGGUAGAGCACUGUUUCGGCUAGGGGGCCAUCCCGGCUUACCAACCCGAUGCAAACUGCGAAUACCGGAGAAUGUUAUCACGGGAGACACACGGCGGGUGCUAACGUCCGUCGUGAAGAGGGAAACAACCCAGACCGCCAGCUAAGGUCCCAAAGUCAUGGUUAAGUGGGAAACGAUGUGGGAAGGCCCAGACAGCCAGGAUGUUGGCUUAGAAGCAGCCAUCAUUUAAAGAAAGCGUAAUAGCUCACUGGUCGAGUCGGCCUGCGCGGAAGAUGUAACGGGGCUAAACCAUGCACCGAAGCUGCGGCAGCGACGCUGAUGCGUUGUUGGGUAGGGGAGCGUUCUGUAAGCCUGUGAAGGUGUGUCGUGAGGCAUGCUGGAGGUAUCAGAAGUGCGAAUGCUGACAUAAGUAACGAUAAAGCGGGUGAAAAGCCCGCUCGCCGGAAGACCAAGGGUUCCUGUCCAACGUUAAUCGGGGCAGGGUGAGUCGACCCCUAAGGCGAGGCCGAAAGGCGUAGUCGAUGGGAAACGGGUUAAUAUUCCCGUACUUGGUGUUACUGCGAAGGGGGGACGGAGAAGGCUAUGUUGGCCGGGCGACGGUUGUCCCGGUUUAAGCGUGUAGGUGUGUGUUCCAGGUAAAUCCGGUUCACUUUAACACUGAGGCGUGACGACGAGGCACUACGGUGCUGAAGCAACAAAUGCCCUGCUUCCAGGAAAA